GAACUGAAGAGUUUGAUCCUGGCUCAGAUUGAACGCUGGCGGCAUGCUUUACACAUGCAAGUCGAACGGCAGCGCGGGGCAACCUGGCGGCGAGUGGCGAACGGGUGAGUAAUAUAUCGGAACGUACCCAGAAGUGGGGGAUAACGUAGCGAAAGUUACGCUAAUACCGCAUACGAUCUACGGAUGAAAGUGGGGGACCUUCGGGCCUCAUGCUUGUGGAGCGGCCGAUAUCUGAUUAGCUAGUUGGUAGGGUAAAGGCCUACCAAGGCGACGAUCAGUAGCUGGUCUGAGAGGACGACCAGCCACACUGGGACUGAGACACGGCCCAGACUCCUACGGGAGGCAGCAGUGGGGAAUUUUGGACAAUGGGCGCAAGCCUGAUCCAGCAAUGCCGCGUGAGUGAAGAAGGCCUUCGGGUUGUAAAGCUCUUUUGUCAGGGAAGAAACGGCUCAGGCUAAUAUCUUGGGCUAAUGACGGUACCUGAAGAAUAAGCACCGGCUAACUACGUGCCAGCAGCCGCGGUAAUACGUAGGGUGCAAGCGUUAAUCGGAAUUACUGGGCGUAAAGCGUGCGCAGGCGGUUUUGUAAGUCUGUCGUGAAAGCCCCGGGCUCAACCUGGGAAUUGCGAUGGAGACUGCAAGGCUUGAAUCUGGCAGAGGGGGGUAGAAUUCCACGUGUAGCAGUGAAAUGCGUAGAGAUGUGGAGGAACACCGAUGGCGAAGGCAGCCCCCUGGGUCAAGAUUGACGCUCAUGCACGAAAGCGUGGGGAGCAAACAGGAUUAGAUACCCUGGUAGUCCACGCCCUAAACGAUGUCUACUAGUUGUCGGGUUUUAAUUAACUUGGUAACGCAGCUAACGCGUGAAGUAGACCGCCUGGGGAGUACGGUCGCAAGAUUAAAACUCAAAGGAAUUGACGGGGACCCGCACAAGCGGUGGAUGAUGUGGAUUAAUUCGAUGCAACGCGAAAAACCUUACCUACCCUUGACAUGGAAGGAAUCC
rnacentral:rRNA from 1 species